rnacentral:lncRNA from 1 species
AUCUCCUACUUUCAGUGGAUUGAGCCUAAACUUCCGUUUCGCCUUCUUAUUUUGUCUGCAGAGUCGGAUGUUGCAAACUGAGAAGUGUUUCUCAUCAGAGGGGUGGCAGGAGCAAAUGCAAUAGCAGUAGCUGCAGAGAACACCUCUGUCAUCACACGCUCCGGGCUACAGGGGAUGGCUUUCCUUACUGCUCUUAAUAAACAUCUACCUUGGUCCACUAGAAGAACUGGUCUGUAAGCCUAUCUGAAUUUCCGCAUCUGGAAAGGCUCAUGUUGUCUGUCAUGUUAGUGCACUGGGACAAGACUUCUGAUGGAAAUACUUAAUUCUCAGAGCGGUGCUGGAUAAUGGCUUUUGCUAUGACCUUCUCAUUUGUAAAGCAAUUGCCACAGGGCCGUGGCUGGCUCAGGGUGCUUCUUGCAGUGCAGACAGACAAGAAAGAAGUUUCUCUAGAUCACUGAAGAGGGGACGUGCCAAACGAGUGAUGCCUAUAAGCUAUGAAAGAUGAUGAAAGUGGGUAAAGAAGUAUCUAGAUAACAUCAAGGCAUUUACUAUAAGUGAAGAUCAUAAAAUUGCCCUGGCAGAGGAGGAGAAAACGCAAAAGUAUUUGGGUAAGGUAAAAUACUUUACAGAUUUAUUCUAAAUGCCUGUUUUUUUCAAGUGAACAGUGUACUUUCCCCAUGGUACUGUACUAAGGAUAAUCCCCACAACAGACCACAGUCCUAAGUCAAAUUCCUUGCUGUAGCCAAAGCUGUAAGGUCAAGCUGUUUUGCCAACUCCAAACCAGAAGAGCAGUGAUCCUUGGAGUCUGAGAAAUAUUAAUAUCAGGGUGAUAAAAAUACUAGGAAAAGACCCUCCUUUGCUGUGUGUCAAGUUGGAGAUAUUUCCUGUUCUGACUGGUCUCUCUUG